GACGAACGCUGGCGGCGUGCCUAAUACAUGCAAGUAGGACGCAGUUGCGAACGGGUGAGUAACGCGUAGGUAACUGCCUAUUAGAGGGGGAUAACUAUUGGAAACGAUAGCUAAUACCGCAUACUAGUAGAUGGACCUGCGCUGUAUUAGCUAGUAGGUAGGGUAAUGGCCUACCUAGGCGACGAUACAUAGCCGACCUGGUAGGUUGGUCGGGCACACUGGGACUGGGGCACGGCCCAGACUCCUACGGGGGGCAGCAGUAGGGAAUCUUCGGCAAUGGGGGGAACCCUGGCCGAGCAACGCCGCGUGAGGGAAGAAAGUUUUCGGGUCGUAAAGCUCUGUUGUUAAGGAAGCGGUACUUAACCAGAAAGGGACGGCUAACUACGUGCCAGCAGCCGCGGUAAUAC
rnacentral:rRNA from 1 species